GAUCUGUUAGCUCAGCCGGUAGAGCAACGGCCUUUUAAGCCGUGGGUCCUGGGUUCGAAUCCCAAACAGAUCA
rnacentral:tRNA from 1 species